rnacentral:rRNA from 1 species
CCUACGGGGGGCAGCAGUGAGGAAUAUUGGUCAAUGGACGCAAGUCUGAACCAGCCAUGCCGCGUGCAGGAAGACGGCUCUAUGAGUUGUAAACUGCUUUUGUACGAGGAUAAACGCAGAUACGCGUAUCUGUCUGAAAGUAUCGUACGAAUAAGGAUCGGCUAACUCCGUGCCAGCAGCCGCGGUAAUACGGAGGAUUCAAGCGUUAUCCGGAUUUAUUGGGUUUAAAGGGUGCGUAGGCGGUCGGUUAAGUUAGAGGUGAAAUCCCGAGGCUCAACCUCAAAAUUGCCGCUGAUACUGGCAGGCUAGAGAGUAGUAGCGGUAGGCGGAAUGUAUGGUGUAGCGGUGAAAUGCUUAGAGAUCAUACAGAACACCGAUUGCGAAGGCAGCUUACCAGGCUACUUCUGACGUUGAGGCACGAAAGCGUGGGGAGCAAACAGGAUUAGAUACCCGUGUAGUC